rnacentral:lncRNA from 1 species
UUCCAUCUGUUAGCGUAGGGGGCUUUUCAGUUCUAAGUGCUAAGUCCCAUUCCAUGACACCUAGCACGUUCUCAAGAUCUUGCUUCCAUUUCUUAUAGUUGACACCAGUGAGUAGUUCAACUGUAUUAAGGUGCAUGGAGCUAGGAUUCAUAACUGUCAAAGCACAUACUUCAAGUAUUAAUCUUUAAAUCCCCAGACUAUAAAUCACCUUUUCAACAUCUUUGGACUGAUGAACAUGUGAAGACUUUCUUUAAUUAUAUCACCUUUAUAACCCACAUACGAAUUUCUGUAAUCAAAAUUAUAAACCUUUGUAGUUUGACAAUAGUAAUUCGAUUCAAACAUUUCUAUAUAAAGUGAUAUACUACUUAAAUUCUAAGCAUAGAAGAGUGAUCUUCUUUAGAUGGCCAGUGAUCAUGACUUGAAAUUAAGCACCAUCACUGAUAUGUAUAUCUGAAUGAAAAUAUAUGUCUUUAUGGUCAAGGAUGGCUUUAGCUAUCACUUGAUCUUGUUCAUAUAUAUUUCCUUAAUGAUACACUACCAGUUCUGUAACCUGUGAGACAAGGAAAAUUUUCUUGAUGCCUUCAACAUAAGGUUAAUAUGUGAAGGGCUCUGAUACCAAAUGUAAGUUAAUUGUGCAACGGAAAAACUUAUUCAUAGUUAUCAACUUAACCACUUACCUAUGGAAGACAUCAUCUCAAAGAACUAGGAUUAAAAACUGUAGUUCUUCUGCAACUCUACACAACUGAAAGCAAGGCUUGCUUAAUGGGGCUUGAGUUUACUGUAAACUUCCAUGUUUAGUGAGAGAGCAGGGACCUUAGUUUUAUACUUCAUACGAUGGAAUUCAAUAAGGAUCCCUCCCAUUAAGUGAUCCUUAUUAAAAAGUAGCCUUAUCACCGUGAAACAAUUAUGCAUUAUAUCAGCUAGAAUAGUUCUAGUUUUCUCGAGAAUGUAUCUGACUUGAAACUUUAAGUAAUACAACUCCUGAUAAGUCUACUACAAGUGUCAAUCCUAAUCUCCUUAUCAUUCCAAAUGUCUUUAAUCAAAUCACCAAGUGUUUGCUCUCAUAUAGAACUUACAUGAAUCUCACCUGAGUUCGAGAAUGAAGCUUAAGGCUCACGGCUUCAAUGGAGUUGCACCUCAUGGUGUUCCGAUGAUGCAUGCAAGAACAUAACUAGUUUCCCCAAGUCCCAUAGGUUUUGAAUAUCAAGAUUUGGGGUUAAAUAUAUGAAAGAACAAGUGGUGGUGGCUGGUUUUCAUGGUGCUAGAGAGAGAGCUUCGAGAGUUAGAAAGAGAGAGAGUGAAGGUGCAGGAAUGAAGAAGAAGGAAUCGGAGUGGGGUAUAAGCUCACUUAAAUUUUUUUUAAGUGAAAUUACAAUUUUGUGCUCUCACAUACUUCGGAACGUAACUUUGAAAUUGAUUUCGUU